UAGGGAAUAUUGGCCAAUGGGGGCAACCCUGAUCCAGCCAUGCCGCGUGAGUGAAGAAGGCCCUCGGGUUGUAAAGCUCUUUUGUCCGGAAAGAAAAGCUUCGGGUUAAUACCCCGGGGUUCUGACGGUACCGGAAGAAUAAGCACCGGCUAACUUCGUGCCAGCAGCCGCGGUAAUACGAAGGGUGCAAGCGUUACUCGGAAUUACUGGGCGUAAAGCGUGCGUAGGUGGUUGUUUAAGUCUGAUGUGAAAGCCCUGGGCUCAACCUGGGAAUGGCAUUGGAAACUGGGCAGCUAGAGUGCGGUAGAGGGCAGUGGAAUUCCCGGUGUAGCAGUGAAAUGCGUAGAGAUCGGGAGGAACAUCUGUGGCGAAGGCGACUGCCUGGACCAGCACUGACACUGAGGCACGAAAGCGUGGGGAGCA
rnacentral:rRNA from 1 species